CAAUAGCGUAUAUUAAAGUUGUUGCAGUUAAAAAGCUCGUAGUUGGAUUUCUGAUCGAGACAUCAGGUCGGGUCCGAGAGGAUCAUGUACUUUGAUUUUGUUUUGAUCAUCCUUGGGGAGAGCAUUUCUGGCAUUCAGUUGUCGGGAUUGGGAUCCUCAUCGUUUACUGUGAAAAAAUUAGAGUGUUCAAAGCAGGCCUCGGCCUCUGAAUACAUUAGCAUGGAAUGAUAAGAUAGGACUUUGGUGGUCUAUUUUGUUGGUUUGCACGCCAAAGUAAUGAUUAAUAGGGAUAGUUGGGGGUAUUCGUAUUCAAUUGUCAGAGGUGAAAUUCUUGGAUUUAUGGAAGACGAACUACUGCGAAAGCAUUUACCAAGGAUGUUUUCAUUAA
rnacentral:rRNA from 1 species